AUAGCGUAUAUUAAAGUUGUUGCAGUUAAAAAGCUCGUAGUUGGAUUUCUGGUUUGAACGUCCGGUCCACUUCCGGCUUGUUCCGUGAGGUGCGUACUAUGGAUGUUUGGAUCAUUUUUUGUGAGGAUGCCUUUCUGCCAUUAAGUUGGUGGUUUGGUGGACUCGCAUCGUUUACUGUGAAAAAAUUAGAGUGUUUAAAGCAGGCGUUUGCUCAUUUGAAUACAUUAGCAUGGAAUAAUAAGAUACGACCUUGGUGGUCUAUUUUGUUGGUUUGCACGCCAGGGUAAUGAUUAAUAGGGACAGUUGGGGGUAUUCAUAUUUCAGCGUCAGAGGUGAAAUUCUUGGAUCGCUGAAAGAUGAGCUUAGG
rnacentral:rRNA from 1 species